UUUUCCCUGCCCGGUGCGUGUAUCGAGACAGUGCUCUUCGACCUUAUUUCCAAAUUCGGGAGCUUCAAAGCGGUUUAGCGCAACAAAGCCAGGCCUCCUUACAGGAAGGCCGCGAAGCGCCCGCUGCUCCCACCUGGUACCCUCGGUAGAAGGGGCCCGUCUUUAACGGCCAUGGCGGGGAUUUU
rnacentral:other from 1 species